rnacentral:rRNA from 1 species
UACAGAGGAGCCAAGCGUUGUCCGGAUUGACUGGGCGUAAAGCGCACGCAGGCGGACGCGCGCGUGGGGUGUGAAAUCUGGCCGCUUAACGGCCAGGCGCCAUCCCAUACGGCGCGUCUGGAGCAAUGCAGAGGUCGGUGGAAUUGCCGGUGUAGUGGUGAAAUGCGUAGAUAUCGGGAGGAACACCAGUGGCGAAGGCGACUACCUGGCCUGUUCUUGACGCUGAGGCGCGAAAGCUAGGGGAGCAAACGGG